GUGACAGGGCCAGAAACGGACAGCGGACAGCGAGCUCAGGAAGAGAAGGUGAGCGGUUCAGCUUUGGCCGUGCGAGGUAUUUCAUGACUGAAAUCAUACACUUGUCUUUCUAUGUCUGGAUUAUUUCAUUUAAGGUUGGAUCUCCAGCAUUGCAACACCAACAAAAAUGAAUGAAGGAAUGAAUGAAUGAAUGAAUGAAUAAGUAAUAGUAAUAUGGCCUGUUCUGGUCUCCUGUUUUUCUCCAAGAGCACCAAGCAAAAUUUCCUGCACUAAAUAGAUGUGUUCAUCUGUCCUUCCACCACAGGAUGACAGAGCUCAGAUGCACCAGAUGCAACCCUUGGACAUGAGCUACACGAAUUUCUGAUAAUUGCAGAUUCCAUGGUAUUCUGUUAUAGCAACAGAAUGCAGACUAAAACACUUGGGUUUCCAUUGUGCAUUUUCUAUGCCUCCAUGUCCUGUAUCAUCCAACUUUGGACUCAAGCUGACAGAGUCAGCCACUAUCUGGAACAGUGCUAGUCCUUGGCAGGAGUAGACAAAGGACAUGGUGACUUAUACUGGCUCUUACAACUUCUGCCUGGAAGGUAGCAAAUUACUCCUUUGACUCCUCAUUGGAUAAACAAGUUAAGUGGCUUCCCCCACCCCAUGUCAUGAGAUGGCAUGGGAUAUAUAAUCUUUCCACAGGGAAGGGAAGCAAAUAUUUGGGAACAGUAAUGCAAAAUGCCACUAUACACAGUAAAUAUUUGCAAUUAAAUCUCUCUAUACA